UACGAAGGUGGCAAGCGUUGUUCGGAUUUACUGGGCGUAAAGCGUGCGUAGGCGGUUUAACAAGUCAGGAGUGAAAGCCCAAGGCUCAACCUUGGAAUUGCUUUUGAAACUGUUUUACUUGAAUCCGGUAGAGGUUGGCGGAAUUCCCAGUGUAGAGGUGAAAUUCGCAGAUAUUGGGAGGAACACCAGUGGCGUAAGCGGCCAACUGGACCGGUAUUGACGCUGAGGCACGAAAGCAUGGGUAGCAAACAGG
rnacentral:rRNA from 1 species